AGUCGUAUGGUCUAAUGGUUAUGAUUUCUCGUUCACAGUUUAACUCUUGUGUCCACAAUUCCCGAGAAGGUUCCGUGUUCGAUCCACGGUACGACUA
rnacentral:tRNA from 1 species